rnacentral:rRNA from 1 species
UACGAAGGGGGCUAGCGUUGCUCGGAAUCACUGGGCGUAAAGGGUGCGUAGGCGGGUCUUUAAGUCAGGGGUGAAAUCCUGGAGCUCAACUCCAGAACUGCCUUUGAUACUGAGAAGCUCGAGUCCGGGAGAGGUGAGUGGAACUGCGAGUGUAGAGGUGAAAUUCGUAGAUAUUGGGAAGAACACCGGUGGCGAAGGCGGCUCACUGGCUCGUAACUGACGCUCAGGCGCGACAGCGUGGGGAUCAAACAGG